GACGAACGCUGGCGGCGUGCCUAAUACAUGCAAGUUGAGCGAUGAAGAUUGGUUCUUGCACCAAUUUGAAGAGCAGCGAACGGGUGAGUAACGCGUGGGGAAUCUGCCUUUGAGCGGGGGACAACAUUUGGAAACGAAUGCUAAUACCUCAUAAUAACUUUAAACAUAAGUUUUAAGUUUGAAAGAUGCAAUUGCUUCACUCAAAGAUGAUCCCGCGUUGUAUUAGCUAGUUGGUGAGGUAAAGGCUCACCAAGGCGAUGAUACAUAGCCGACCUGAGAGGGUGAUCGGCCACAUUGGGACUGAGACACGGCCCAAACUCCUACGGGAGGCAGCAGUAGGGAAUCUUCGGCAAUGGACGAAAGGCUGACCGAGCAACGCCGCGUGAGGGAAGAAGGUUUUCGGAUCGUAAAACUCUGUUGGUAGAGAAGAACGUUGGUGAGAGUGGAAAGCUCAUCAAGUGACGGUAACUACCCAGAAAGGGACGGCUAACUACGUG
rnacentral:rRNA from 1 species